rnacentral:rRNA from 1 species
CAGCCGCCGCGGUAAUACAGAGACUGCAAGCGUUAUUCGGAUUCACUGGGCGUAAAGGGUGCGCAGGCGGCCAAGUGUGUGAGGUGUGAAAGCCCGGGGCUUAACCCCGGAAUUGCACCUCAAACUACUUGGCUAGAGCAUUGGAGAGGGUAGCAGAAUUCACGGUGUAGCAGUGAAAUGCGUAGAUAUCGUGAGGAAUACCAGAGGCGAAGGCGGCUACCUGGACAAUUGCUGACGCUCAGGCACGAAAGCGUGGGGAGCAAAAGGGAUUAGAUACCCCUGUAGUCCACGCCCUAAACGGUGCACACUAGGUCUUGGCGGAUUCGACCCCACCAGGGCCCAAGCUAACGCGUUAAGUGUGCCGCCUGAGGACUACGGCCGCAAGGCUAAAACUUAAAGGAAUUGACGG